CAUUCAUCACCAUCCAAAUCAAAGAUCUUGAAGACGGUAUCCAAAAUAUUGUUGGAGAGCUCUUGUCCUGUUGCUACUUUCACAGCUCUCUUAAACUCAGCUGCAAACAAAACAAAGUAAUUCAUCAACCACGUGAAACAGUCAAAGAAAUGGUGGUUAUCAUUUUACAUUCCUACUAGCAAUGGAUGAACGACCCGUUUCUCUGCAUCCUUGGAAGCAUUUGGUGUUACCAACAUUGAAAAAUGUUACCAUUCAGACAGAAUUUAAUAAUUUAAUCAUGAAAAGCAGCAUAUGUGUAUCUGAAGCUAUUGGGAAUCUCACACAAGCUUGCACAUUCCAGCUCCUAGAAGAUGAGUUCAGGUAGGUCUUUUGUGUUUGCAAACC